CACGUGCAAAUCGUCCUUCCGCUUCCCUUCAUCGACCCGGUCGGGGGACUGAAAAUACCUAUACACGUUUGAUCAUGCGUGGCUGUGUCACCACCACCUCAUAAGAUGAGGAAGUACAUUGUUGUUUAUGAGAAAUGUCCAGUUUGCAGCCGAACAUGCAACAUAGAGAAGACCAGCAAACGGACCCUCAGCAUCAUGCAGACAUGCCCUCGCUAAACAUGUAUGGAGUCAGCACAUGGAGACUUUCAAGAUGAAGUCCAGACUGAUAGACAGGCUUGAUACUGAUGUCUGAAUUGGGGAGAGAGGCCUGGCACUUGGCAUUACAAUCUUACUAGACACACAUUUUACAUGUAUUUUUUUAAAUGAUUGAAUGCAAUGUUAUCAGUCAAUAUUGGGUGGGACAAACCCUGUGUGCUCUGCACCAGGAUCUGGAAACUCCUAUUGUAUACGGGACACCACACAGGACACCACGUUUGCCAAGGUCGCCCCAAUUCCACUAGACCAAAUGCAGAUAAUCACAGUAUCUGUAUCGGCUGGGAAUGACAAUGAAAGGUGCACAUUGUUAUAUUAGCAGAACCCUGAUUCUACGGUAUUAUGUGAAGCGCUGUUUAUUUUACAUGGACCUGUUAAUUCAUUUGAAAGUUGUCAAAACAUUAGUUUAGAAUAUCUGCAUAAAUUCAGCAAUUGCAUUCUUCUCAUAUUACUCUGUAGGCUACUGAACUAUUCAAAGGCGGCAGGUUGAGCGUUGGACUAGUAACCAAAAGGUUGCAAGAUCGAAUCCCCGAGCAGACAAGGUAAAAAUCUGUCAUUCUGCCCCUAAACAAGGCAGUUAACCCA